rnacentral:rRNA from 1 species
CGCGUAGGCGGUGCGGUAAGUCACCUGUGAAACCUCCGGGCUCAACUCGGAGCCUGCAGGCGAAACUGCCGUGCUGGAGUGUGGGAGGGGUGCGUGGAAUUCCCGGUGUAGCAGUGAAAUGCGUAGAGAUCGGGAGGAACACCUGUGGCGAAAGCGGCGCACUGGACCACAACUGACGCUGAGGCGCGAAAGCUAGGGGAGCAAACAGGAUUAGAUACCCUGGCAGUCCUAGCCCUAAACGAUGGAUGCUUGGUGUAGCCGGUACCCAAUCCGGCUGUGCCGCAGCUAACGCGAUAAGCAUCCCGCCUGGGGAGUACGGUCGCAAGGCUGAA